GUCGAGCGACGCAUGCCGGAGGGGUAACCCACUGGUAUGACGGAGCGGCGAACGGGUGAGUAACACGUGAGCAAUCUGCCCCGUAGACCGGGAUAGCCCAGGGAAACCUGGAUUAAUACCGGAUGCCCUCGGUGAAUCGCAUGAUUCCUCGAGGAAAAGCUUUUGCGCUAUGGGAUGAGCUCGCGACCUAUCAGCUAGUUGAUGGGGUAAAGGCCUACCAAGGCAUCGACGGGUAGCUGGUCUGAGAGGACGAUCAGCCACACUGGGACUGAGACACGGCCCAGACUCCUACGGGAGGCAGCAGCAGGGAAUCUUGCGCAAUGGGCGAAAGCCUGACGCAGCAACGCCGCGUGGGGGAUGAAGGCCUUCGGGUUAUAAACCCCUUUCAGGAGGGAAGAAAUUGACGGUACCUCCAGAAGAAGCACCGGCCAACUACGUGCCAGCAGCCGCGGUAAUACGUAGGGUGCAAGCGUUAUCCGGAAUCAUUGGGCGUAAAGAGCUCGUAGGCGGUUCAACAAGUCGGCUGUGAAAGUCCGAGGCUUAACCUCGGAAUUGCAGUCGAUACUGUUGUGACUCGAGUCCGGUAGAGGAGAAUGGAAUUCCCGGUGUAGCGGUGAAAUGCGCAGAUAUCGGGAGGAAACA
rnacentral:rRNA from 1 species